rnacentral:rRNA from 1 species
CGUCUAGGUGGGAGAGUAGGUCAGACGUGAAAUCCCGGGGCUCAACUCCGGAAUUGCGUUUGAAACCACUUUUCUUGAGGGUAGGCGGGGGAAACGGAAUUCCACGUGUAGCGGUGAAAUGCGUAGAUAUGUGGAAGAACACCGGUGGCGAAGGCGGUUUCCUAGCUUAUACCUGACACUGAAGCGCGAAAGCGAGGGGAGCGAACA